AUUUUACUUUGCACACGUGGCUUCAUAGCUAUCGACGGUAUCAAAAGCCGCAGAAAAUGUCGACAUUUCCUGGAAUGCUGAAAUGCGCCCUAUUUUUAACAGUGACUCUCCUGAUGUCUAUCAAUGUAGCGGAAGCACUUGUGCCGCUUUGGACCCUCCAAGAUGGGAGAGAUUUGAACGACCGUUCCGAUGUUGAAUCGAAGCUCGAGUCUUGAAGACAAAUGUGCUAAUAGAGCUAAAACACACAAACAAUAGGACGACUGUGUUAUUAGCCACAAUAAAUAAAUGGC